rnacentral:tRNA from 1 species
GCGACUAUGAUCUUUGACACAUUUGGAUGAAGGAAUU